rnacentral:lncRNA from 1 species
GAACUCUUUAUGCUUUAUAAUAAACACAUUGUCUGCAUAGUUGUGGGACCACUAUAUUCACACAAGAGAGGAAAAAUAAACUUAAUGUUGGUUAAACCAGAUGAUGAAGGAAAUAAAGAGGCACCAGUUUCCCACAUGGGUAUGAAUCACAUAUCUAUGUAUAUUAGCUGUUAUUGUAAACACUAUAUCUGAGCUAAUUAGGUAAGAAAACUCUCUCGGAUGAGCAAAAAAUAUAGCUUCCCCCAGAAUCUCAACACAAUAUCGAACUUGUUAAUUAUAAGGUAAAUGAAGGACAGGAAACAUAUUUAUAAUAAAAUGGAUUCAAUGAUUCUGAUAUAAUUCACUCAAGAUAUCUGCUGCCAUAUUUCCAAUUCAGCUUUGACAUUGAACUUCUAACGGUCCUUCUCACCUCCUCUGAAUACAGAUCACUGUGCUCUCCAGCAUUAUGCAUCUUGAAUUGUUGAAUAUAUUAAUAUUUUUGUAUAAAUGGUCAUUGCAAAAUUGAUUUUACCUUUGAAAAUUUAACUGCAAAUUUUUCUAAACACAUAUUUAUGAUUUUGAUUUAGUACCUUUGAGUCUUGUGGCUUUACUCAACACAUAUGUAAUUUAUUUUACUCCUUUCCUAUAAAAUAGAUCCAUUAUUUGCUGGAGAACAGUUUUUCCCAGAAAUUUUGAGUAAGAGUUGUAAAUCGAGAAUAUACUUGCAAAUACCAAUGAAAUGUUUGCUCAUAUUUCUGUGACAUGUUUUGGUUGUUUAUCAUUCUUCUCAAUGAUGUGCACCGAAUGAGAUGCUUUUGCAUGCUAAGCAGUUGCUCUACAACUGAGCGUCUACCACAGAUCUUUCUGAUCCUCUGUGGGCUUUGUACAUACAUAUUUCAGGUUCCUACAUGAGUUUUCUCAAUGUAGAAAGAUUAAAAUAUGUCCUAAUAAUUUUAUUAUAACCAAGCCUUCUUUUUUUAGCCAGGUACAUAUUUUUUUCCUACUCCAUGUCUUCAUUUUGUGGUAUUCUAGAGAUUGUUUAAAAUAUAUAUUUCAUUUAUAGAUGAUAAACAUUUUUCUUUAAGGUUUGGUUGUUGUUGAAGUAUGUUCCCUCCCCCUGAAAGAGAUACUGGUGAGUGAAAUAGCAUGUAGAACAUGCUCAUUUGUGGACAAGGUGCUGAGAUAUAACCCCUGCCCAGGACACAUCCAAAGGAAAAAUUUGCAUGCUACAAGGUUCCACAUGUAACCAAGGAAGGGAAAUCCAUCCAAAUGCAUGGAAAUCCUCAACCUAUGAACAUCAACAUCAUGAGAAAAGAAGGCAAAAACACACCACCAAAAUUUCCAAAUAACUGCAUCCACUAAAGAUAAAACAUAAAUAUGGUUUAAAAUCCAUGAGAGAGGUAAGAUGAAUAUGUUUAAUAAUUGUAUUGAUUUCUUGCAUGGGAAGGAUAUAUAAUAGGGAGAUAUUCUUUGUACCCUAACAGAACAGGACCCAUCAUGAAUGGUUCAUAUUCCAUUAACAGGUAAUUUGUGUUGAUUUCAUUCUAUUGCUCCCUUGAUCUAAAAAUUCUAGUCCAAGGAGAAUUAUGUCUUAAACAUUGGCAUGGGUGAUAGGUAAUGAGAAACAAAAAUCUUGAGCCUUUAGGAAUGAUGGUCUUUUCACAUAAACGAGUUCUGUGAUCAUUGAAGUUUUGUAUGUUCCUUGUUUCAACCCAUUAUUUCUGGGUCUCCAGUUUAUCACAUUAAAGAAUGUCACACAAAUGAAAACAAUUGUUAUUCAAAAAUAUUGGCUCAACUGCUAGCGUAAAGUUUAUUUUUAAGCUGCCAUGGCUUCUAAUACUACUUUCAUGUUCAUGAACAGUUAAAUUCUUUUAAAUAUUAAAUUACAAUAUUUAGGUCCCUAAAGAGUAUUCUAUGAGGUCAAUUCAUUUGUUGUCAUUUACCUUCUAGAAGCAAAAAAAAAAGAAAGAAAGAAAAGAAAAAGAAAGAAGUAAUCUGGGAAGUUUAAAUUGGCACGUGUACAUACCUGUUGCAAGCUAUUAUCAGUGCCAUUAUGCCUCUGUUGCUCUUCCUCUGAUGGCACAUCAAAAUGUGACUCUGGUGACAAAUGCACAGAUUUAAACUACUUAAAAAU